GGUCGUUUAGCUCAGUUGGUUAGAGCGUGGUGCUAAUAACGCCAAGGUCGCGAGUUCGAUCCUCGUAGUGACCA
rfam:Erysiphe necator strain c c-strain-scaffold_1636, whole genome shotgun sequence.